UAUGUUUAUCUUUUUAUUUCAGUUAGUAAUGUAAUAUUUAGUUGAAUUUGAGGAUAAAGUGGCGGUGGUUCUUGAUUGCUGGUUGUAACAAGAAUCAGCUACAUGUUAUUGGCCUCAGGGAAUUGGUGCUACACAAUGGUCAAAAAUGAAAAAAGUUAUUAAUUCCUAAUCACAAAGAUUGGCCUCUUUAUUCUUAUAUAAGAAUAUUGAAAGUUAGAGAUAUAUAAUUUCUAUAUGGUUUUGGAAAGUUUUGAUUAUAUGAUUGUUUCUGCAAAUUAUAAUUUUCCAGACUAUGAAAAAAUGAAAAAGGCAGAGGCUAAAUCUUUGUACUACACAAAUUUUUCUUCAAGUUGUUCAGAAAUAAAACAUGAUUUAAAGAGGAAAAAUUUGCAAACACAUUGGAGUCCUGACAUUUCAAUUGAGAAAAAGGUAAAAAAAUGAAAAUUAAAAAAACAAGAAAAAGAAAAAAUCAUGUAGACAGUCAACUUCAACCACUUCCACAGAUCGAAUUGAUAAACCACCAGCUAGUUCUAGCACAAACAUCACAUCUUCAAUUCUUCCUGAUUUAGUAAAACAAGCUGUGGCUGAUGUUGUUCGACCAUAUUUUCAUAGUGUUAUUAAACAGUUGGAGUCAGAGUUAGGUGUGCAGCGCCAAAAGCAAGUUUCUAUUAAUCAUAAUACAAGUGGAAAUCUUCCAGAAAACUUUAUAUUUCCAUUAAAAGAAAUUGAUGAACUCUUACAGUUAAAUAGCAUUUUUCUGGAAAAUACUGAAUGUCGAUCAAAUGCAGUUAUUUUUUUAUCUCUAAUUGAAGGAAAUGGUCUUGAUGACUGUUUGAGAAAAGUCGCUAAGGAAAUCUUGACAGCAAAACUCUCAAUGCUUUAUAACAUUACAGGAAGAAAAGGGUAAAUUAGAGUUUGGUUGUCUAGUUGGGGUGAAAAAUGUGAUAUAAGGAGGUAAUGGCAGUAGUUCAAUGUUGUAGUUUAUUAAAGAAAUCCACUAGCUGCUUUGGCCUCAGGGAAUAGGUGCCACAAAAUAGGCGAAAUAAGAAAUGCACUCAUAUUAAUAAUAAACACUGACCUUUCUAUCCAUAAUUAUGGUUAUUGAAAAGUGGAGGGUUCGAGCUCAAGCUAAGAAGAAGAACUACAAACGCCACAAACGAUGAUGCAUUAAUCACUUCCUACACCACUACAUCUAUAUGUCUAAUUGUACUUACAUUUCACAAAAGGUUUGGUAAACCAGAGCUGAAAGCUGAUGUUAAUGAGCAGUGGCAGAAACAAGCCUGCAUCGGACAAACCAUUAAUGCACCUCUCUCAGAUGCCUUGACUUUUCCACUCCAAGAGAUAUAUGAUCUUCUGGAAAUCAACCCAAUUGCAAGAUUCUGAGUAGUGAUCAAGAACAGUGCAGUAAGAAAACUAUCCCUAAGCGACAAUUAGUCAACCGGACAAGAUGCUUCCAAAAUGGCUAUCAAGUUCAAUUGACAUGGAUGGUCUCGAAAAAAUCGCUAGGAGAGGCGUAGAGGAUAAUUCUUUAGAAGACAUUUAAUUUUUAUAUUAAAUGUAAUAAAGUGUUUUUUAUGUGUUUAUUUUCUUUUUUACAUUGUUA